AACUGGGAUUAGAUACCCCACUAUGCUUAGCCAUAAACAUCGAUCUUUACACAAAAAUCCGCCCGGGAACUACAAACACGAGUUUAAAACCCAAAGGACUUGGCGGUGCUUAACAUCCACCUAGAGGAGCCUGUUCUA
rnacentral:rRNA from 1 species